UGGCUCUCUCCCCUCGGGCCCCUCUAUUGCCAGUGUCAGUGACCAUGCCCGUCCCUUGCCCCCACAGGCCUAGGGGCAGUCAUGGAGCGCAGGGCACUGCCUCAGCCUCAUGGUUUUCCUCUCCCUCUACUCAUACCUCUGACGAGUCUCUAGAGGAGGCCUGCGGCCGCAUGUCCCCAGGCAGCCAUCUUGUGACGGCGAGGAAGACCAGCAUGAGGAGGAAGCCAACAAGCAGAGGAAGGGAGACGAGAGAAUGGCAGAGGAACCGGCUCAGAGCCCGCUCGGAGAGCCCCGCCACAGGACUCUUCAGAUUGAAUCCCACCCAGCUGGUGAGGUACUGCCUGUCUGCCUCCCCCAGGAAGGCCUCAGAGAACAUCAACAGCUUGAUUCCCCGAAUCACCCACAGCCUCCCUAGAGGGCAGCUGACACAAAGGAUUAGCUACAAAAGCACUGGGAAAUAUGCACAGAAGACUCAGCUCACGCACCCACGGCUCUGAUGCCUUCCUGAUCGGAGUAAGGACAUGGAAAGGAGAGCUCAGUGGAAUGGUGGCAUGGAGGAGGAGCACUCAGGAGGAGAGACUGAAAUGCCAGUCGUGGGCCAGAUCGCAUGUGAAGAUAGAACUUGAACUCCCUGCAGCAACCAGCCCCAGUCGACUGGUGGCUUCACUAAUUUUUGUUCAUGAUGGCAACUUAGCACAAACCAGAGAAAGCCAAAUAUGGUCCCCCAACCAAUCACAUAGGAUGUCCCACCUCUUGGAAGCCCACCUCCAGCUUCCUUAGGCACCCCAGCCAGGGCAAGUCUGAGCCUUCCCUAUGGCCCAUUGUAAAGCUCCACCACCCCUCUGCCCACCUUUGCGUCUCUGCCAAACACAAAUGAGAGGUUUAUUUGCUUUAGGAGGUUCUGAAUAAAGAGCCUUAGCUGGUCCUCAUUAUGGGGGCCUUCAUUUUUGCCCACACUGACCCUCCCUUCCUUCUCCCUGAGCAUGAGGCCUCAUCCUCCACAGCUCACUCCUGGCACUGGGGUCUCCUCGCUGGGUUAGCGUCGCCUGUGAGUGAAUCUGCCCGCC
rnacentral:lncRNA from 1 species